AACCAGAUUAGGUUUUUGUUACUCUGUGCAACAGCAGCUAGUUUCUGUCUAGGUGAUGAGAUUUUUGGAAGUGCAAGUCCAUUAAUUUUACUUUUUUUCGCACAUGUCACACUUUCAAUGUGAAGACUAUUUUGGAUUGAAACAAAUGUUUCAGUGUUUUACUGUUUUUUCAGUUCCAACUUUAUUCUGUUCUUUGGCUUAUCUUUUGGUUUGUUACGUUGUAUGUAGCGUGUCGUUGUUAUGUAGGGGACGGCACUCUUGACGGCAUUUACUUGUAUGUAUGGAAGAUUGGCGACAAAUCGGGUCUUGCAUUCGACUGUUGACCUGUCUGAUUGUAAUACGAUGAGUUUGAACAAGACAAACGGUAAGAGCUGAAAAAUCAUUUUAAUGUGAAAUCUAGUUGAUAUCUGUGUUUAAGGAGCUAUUUGGGAAACUGAGUUAGAAGUUAGAAUAGUGUAGAAUAUGUACUAAAAUAUUGUUUCAGAACUGAAAUGGUGUUACAUUUUGGAUGGAUCUUACUGUAAUCAAAUAAGUGUAAGAUAUUAAACAAUGUCUUUUUGUUUCAGAACUGUAGUAACGCGGGCUGGUGGACCAUAGUACUCGAUGUGUAGUAGGGAUAGCUAUUGGAUGUCAUGCUUGUAUUCCUGUUUGUCCUAUCAACUCAUUCAUCCAAUAUGUAAAGAAAAUUAUAUUAUAAGGAAGGAAGCAGCUUAGGGAUUUGAUAAUUAUGUUGUUUGGAGUCCUGGUUAGCAUAACUAUAUUUUUGGUGAAAUCAAGACUUCAUGGGGGUAUAUAUACAAAUAUUCUCAAUUUGAAAAUUACAUCUUUCAAAUCAUGCUACAUUUACUAAUGGAUUGUUCCUGUCCGAUAAAGCCUGUUUAGAAGAUGGACAAAGUGAUAUUUUAGAGGCAUGUCAGGAGUCGUUGGCUGGGUUGUGUUGAUAAACGGACUGCACUCAGUACUAUUAGUACUAGCCGAUGUUGCAUCGUCUAGUAUUUCUGUCUGAGAUCCUGUUGCAACUGGUUCGCGGCAAGUCAUGGUUCCGAUAUCCUUUGGUGGAGGUAAGAUCAGCCCGCCAACGUAGAAGGAAUAAUGACGUUGGGGUAACACACCAAGAGUUCUAGCCCUUCGAUGCAUAAUGAGGCAAGCACAAAGUAAAAUUAGCACUAUGAAGCAAGGACCACCGAUCACUACAAGAAGCCAAAGCCAAUAUUUAUCCGCCAUUAGUCGGCUACUAACACUAGGACAAUAACUGCACUAUUUUUUUUCCCGUCUUUUUGUGCAAGCGAUGGAGUAAUAGGUCCUGGCGUUAGGAAGACUGUCGAAGGAUACAGCUUCUUUCCUCUAACGUAUCACGAAAAUCUGAACGAUUCGGUUAACCUCAUCUGAGCCGGGAAGUGGGCACGUGAGAACUCAGUAGUAGCAGUUACGUCACCAGUUCGAGUUGGGCUCGAUUAGAUGCGGAUUAUAUAUUUUUUUCUUGAUCUAGCACAAUUAAACUAUGUGAGAAGUGAAUUGUAUUGAAAAUGGUAUUCGGUAGUUCAGUUUUGGGAUAGCUAACCAACUUCUUGUAAGACCAUCUUAUUUAUAAAUAUUUUUUGACAAGUGUUUGGGUAGGUUAACUUGGUCUUGUUUUUAAAACUUUUCGAUUUCUUUUCUAGUGACGUCGUAUUCACGUGGGUUGUUAUUGUAAGUCUUAAGGUGAGUAAGGGUUGGGAAAUGGAUUCGAUUGUUCUGUCAGAUGAGCUCUUUAGAGACAGCUGAAUGGGUCAAGAUGAGUCAAUUUAUGUAUAAGAGAAUAGAAAGUUGUGUCGUGAAUAUAAAUAAGGUACGAUGUUAUUUAUAUAUACAAUGUAUAUAUGUUUGAGAAACAAAGUAAUUACUUGAGUCAUUGUAAAAUUUUACAGUUGGUUAUUGGCCAACUGGUUUAUUUCGACUUUUCUUGGAUAUCGUUAGCGCGUAGGAUUCUUUCGCCUUAGAUGCAUUUACGUCUUAGAUGUAUAUAAAUAAAAAAAUACCAGGAUACAAUAAAAAUAAUUUAGAAUGUCUUAGUAGAACUAAUAUUCAAUUAAAUUAGAACUAUUCAUUAAAUUCAGUUGUCCUGAAUUUAUAUAUUAAAAAAGCGGGUUUCUGUUCACUAAUUCUUAAUCAAUUAAUGGAAAUUGAAAUAGAUUAAUCAGGCAAUAGCGAUUAUACGGAUGGCGCUUAUAAAAACGUGUGAUCAGUGGAAUUGAUUUACUCAUUUCUUCCAAAUUGAGUCCAUGAAUAAAUACACUUUUAAAUUCUAAAUAUAAAUUGAAAGUAUGUGUAUUGUAUAUACUGCGGAAAAGUACAUUUUAAAAAAUGCUUGGGUAAUGUUUGCCGCCAGAAAAUGCAGACUAAACGAACAAGUCAUUCAGUUCAGUUGCUUCAUGGCGCACACGUGGAACAUUAUUCGUACUGGCAUUUUUUGUUACUGAAUCAGUGUUAAUGUGACGAAUUUUAAGCAAAUAUUUAUUUUUAUUUGAGAAUAAAGUAAACAGUGAUCCUAUUUACGAUUAUGCAGCUUACUGAAAAAAUAAAACAAUAUGGUUUUCUCAUUUGAGAACAAAGUGUCCAAACAUGAACUUGAUUUGGUGGUUUCUUCAAUAGUUAGGCUGAUAAUAAAAGUGAAGCAGGAAUUGGAUGAUGGUGCAAAGCAAGUGCUUUGUACCAUACUGGACAAAAAGUAUCAGUUCUUUGUGCAAUGAAAAUUGUUGCCAUUCCACACUCACAUGCAGUAUGACACGUUUCCGAGAGAUGGUUUGACGUCAUCCGAUAUCGUGGAGUAAUCUGAGGGGUUUGCACAUUUCUUAAUAACUGCUUCCUCAUUUUUUAUCGUACCCAUCUUACAGGGCAUUUUUGGAUCACAAUUCCAAAAUCAUUAAAAUUAUGUUGUGAAAAAUUAAUGCGAUAAAAUGAUGUCAUUGUAUUCGCAACAGAAUGACAGGCAAAAGCACAAAGAGAACAAGAGGGAAAUAUAGUCGAAAGAAAUGCUACAAUAGUAAAAUUGUUAACAUUUUAGUAGCGUCCUUGGGUCUGGGCGGAAGCUGGCUGAGGAGCAGCGUACACCUGCUGCUGCUGGGCUGUAGCGGGAGCAGCGAAGGUUUGCUGUUGGGGAGCAGCGAAAGUCUGUUGCUGGGGAGCAGUGAAAGUCUGUUGCUGGGGAGCAGCGAAAGUCUGUUGCUGGGGAGCAGCGAAGGUCUGUUGCUGGGCAGCGGCGAAGGUCUGUUGCUGGGCAGCGGCAGGAGCAACAGAUUCGGCAACGGAUGAAGAUGCAGCUGGUGCUUGAUGAGCGGAUGCGGCAGGGUUGAUGGUGAUGCAAGAGCAGAUCUGUUGGGUAGUUGUUGGUGCAACUGGCAUAACCGGGCUGGCUGCUGGUCUGGAUUGCUCAGCAGUGAAUGCUGGGCUAGCUGCGGGUCUCUGCUGCUCAAGAGGAAGUGCUCCAAUAUUCGAGACGGUUUGUUGGCUCUGGCUAGAAUACGACUGACCACCCAGCAUUCCGCUCAAACCAGUACUUCCCGAUUGGGAUCCCUGGUUGCUUGAAGAUCUGUAGGAGUUGAAAACAGCAUUACUUUACGGCUGUGAAGUAAAAUAACAUGAAUGUUUGCCAACUUACUGAGACGCAUACUGGCCGGAGCAGGCAACAGCCAACAUGGCGCACAUCACAACAACCUAAAUCAGGAGAGAAUCAUUCAGAAUUAAAUAGUUUCCAUUUGAGCAGGGACAAUUAAAAAACUGUACUUACGGUUUUGAAGGUGUUCAUCUUGAGGAGGAAGUUUGAGUAUUGAACUGGAAAACUUGUAAAGGUGAACUGAUGUCUUUCCAUGAAAAUGCAGCACCUUUAUAUAGUCCGGUACAGGCCCAGUCAACCACCACGGAACAGUUAGUUGCCAUGUACCAGAAAAAAGGAGAAAUACUGCGAGAUCGUGUAAAACUAUUGAACGGGUCAGCCAACCAAACAGCGAGCAAGGUCAACUUGUUGCUACGCCAACUAAAUCUCCCGUUUAAUUUUGACAAGAGAAAGCUAUUUCCAAGCUACGACUAUGCAAACUAGCACAACUGAAAGAUUUUUACAGCAUCGCUCAGUAUUUUGUCUUGCACUGCUUCUUUUAUGAUACCGCUGCACGCUGCAUCUGCUGCCAAAAUAUCUUUUGGCAUCUUUUCAUGGAUGAUAGGAUCUCUUCAGGGGAUUGCGUUAUCUUUCUGGAUAUUUUAUAGAUAAGAAAGAUUCUUCAGUUGAUUUCAACAUUACAGAGACGUUAUAUUUAUGGAGCCCACUGUCCAGCGGAAUGGGAAUGGAAUUCUCGUGUUUAUCUACCUGAAGGUUCAGCCUGAAAAUUAAAGCAGUUGCCUACAUAAUCUGGUUUGCAUGUCUCAACGCUUCUAAUCAACCUCAGAAUGACGUAAUGAGCCAACAGUUUUUUAACGGAAAGCUCUUUACCAAACAACUAGACAGGAUUUCGAAAUGCAAAAACUGCAAGUCCUGCUACACAAUUUCUUCCCCGAAAUUAUAGCAUUGAGCAAACGCAUCCAGGUAUACAUUUAACAUAAAACUGCUCGGCUUUUCGAAAAAACGAAAACCCCCGAAAAGCUUGUGGGAUGAUCCUACGUACUGUACGGCACGCAGAAAUUAAUUCCGAAGGAAUUUUUCUCCCUGGAGCUUUACGUUUAGGUUAAAGUUAUUUCCGUAUGGUAAAGAACCACCCGGAAAGGAAAACAACGUUGGCUGUAAUGCAACGCAGUAGAAUAUUCUGCGCAGUUAGUUAUUUUCAUAAUUUAUUAGUAGACGGCAUCACAAGGAAGUGAGUGCAAAAUACAUA